rnacentral:lncRNA from 1 species
GCCUUCCUGAGCUACCCACCACAUCAUUGUGGGUUUGGGUUACCUGGUCUAUCAGUCAGCUCGGGCUGACAUAACAAAAUACCGCAGACGGUCGGUUUAAACAACAGAAACUUACUUCUCACAGUUCUGGAGGCUGGAAGUCCAGGCCAAGGUGCCGGCAAGAGAGGAGAGGCUUGGAGCAGAGGUGGGACGACCCGCUCAGCUUGCACAGACUCCCUGCCGCUGUCUGGAGAGCAGACUGAGGGGCAAGGGCAGAGCCAGGAGACCCCUCUGAGAGGCCUCUGCACUCAUCCAGGUUGUCACCUGUGCUCCUGACGGCCCGGCUAUAAAUUGGGGUUCCCAUAAACCCCUCCUCGAAUUUGAUAAUUUGUUAGAACGGCUCAUGGGACUCAGGAAAACAGUUUACUCACCAGAUUACCAGCUCAUCACAAAGGAUGUUAAAGGAUAUGAAUGAACAGCUAGAUGAAGAGAUACAUAGGGC